rnacentral:rRNA from 1 species
GACGAACGCUGGCGGCGUGCUUAACACAUGCAAGUCGAACGGAAAGGCCCUGCUUUUGUGGGGUGCUCGAGUGGCGAACGGGUGAGUAACACGUGAGUAACCUGCCCUUGACUUUGGGAUAACUUCAGGAAGCUGGGGCUAAUACCGGAUAGGAGCUCCUGCUGCAUGGUGGGGGUUGGAAAGUUUCGGCGGUUGGGGAUGGACUCGCGGCUUAUCAGCUUGUUGGUGGGGUAGUGGCUUACCAAGGCUUUGACGGGUAGCCGGCCUGAGAGGGUGACCGGGCACAAUGGGACUGAGAUACGGCCCAGACGCCUACGUGAGGCAGCAGUCGGGAAUAUUGCACAAUGGGCGGAAGCCUGAUGCAGCAACGCCGCGUGCGGGAUGACGGCCUUCGGGUUGUAACCCGCUUUCGCCUGUGACGAAGCGUGAGUGACGGUAAUGGGUAAAGAAGCACCGGCUAACUACGUG